AAUCUAUACAGUGAAACUGCGAAUGGCUCAUUAAAUCAGUUAUCGUUUAUUUGAUAGUACCUUACUACUUGGAUAACCGUGGUAAUUCUAGAGCUAAUACAUGCUAAAAACCCCGACUUCGGAAGGGGUGUAUUUAUUAGAUAAAAAACCAAUGCUCUUCGGGGCUCCUUGGUGAUUCAUAAUAACUUAACGAAUCGCAUGGCCUUGUGCCGGCGAUGGUUCAUUCAAAUUUCUGCCCUAUCAACUUUCGAUGGUAGGAUAGUGGCCUACCAUGGUUUCAACGGGUAACGGGGAAUUAGGGUUCUAUUCCGGAGAGGGAGCCUGAGAAACGGCUACCACAUCCAAGGAAGGCAGCAGGCGCGCAAAUUACCCAAUCCCGACACGGGGAGGUAGUGACAAUAAAUACUGAUACAGGGCUCUUUUGAGUCUUGUAAUUGGAAUGAGUACAAUUUAAAUCCCUUAACGAGGAACAAUUGGAGGGCAAGUCUGGUGCCAGCAGCCGCGGUAAUUCCAGCUCCAAUAGCGUAUAUUAAAGUUGUUGCAGUUAAAAAGCUCGUAGUUGAACCUUGGGCCUGGCUGGCCGGUCCGCCUCACCGCGUGCACUGGUCCGGCCGGGCCUUUCCUCCUGGGGAGCCGCAUGCCCUUCACUGGGUGUGUCGGGGAACCAGGACUUUUACUUUGAAAAAAUUAGAGUGUUCAAAGCAGGCCUAUGCUCGAAUACAUUAGCAUGGAAUAAUAGAAUAGGACGUGUGGUUCUAUUUUGUUGGUUUCUAGGACCGCCGUAAUGAUUAAUAGGGA
rnacentral:rRNA from 1 species